UGGUUGGACAGGUGGGGACACUCCAGUACAGUAGGUAUCAUAACGUUGGUUGGACAGGUGGGGACACUCCAGUACAGUAGGUAUCAUAACGUUGGUUGGACAGGUGGGGACACUCCAGUACAGUAGGUAUCAUAACGUUGGUUGGACAGGUGGGAAGUGGGGACACUCCAGUACAGUAGGUAUCAUAACGUUGGUUGGACAGGUGGGAAGUGGGGACACUCCAGUACAGUAGGUCGGAUGCCAAUAAACCCCACAGAAGAAGAGGCGAUGGAGACAACGGUUGACAGUGUCCUUCGCUCUUCCUGUUCAGGCACUGUUUUCCCUGCAGUUCUGUUAACAAGGG
ensembl:lncRNA